GACGAACGCUGGCGGCGUGCCUAAUACAUGCAAGUAGAACGCACAGUUUAUACCGUAGCUUGCUACACCAUAGACUGUGAGUUGCGAACGGGUGAGUAACGCGUAGGUAACCUGCCUGGUAGCGGGGGAUAACUAUUGGAAACGAUAGCUAAUACCGCAUAAUAUUGAUUAUUGCAUGAUAAUUAAUUGAAAGGUGCAAUUGCACCACUACCAGAUGGACCUGCGUUGUAUUAGCUAGUAGGUGAGGUAACGGCUCACCUAGGCGACGAUACAUAGCCGACCUGAGAGGGUGAUCGGCCACACUGGGACUGAGACACGGCCCAGACUCCUACGGGAGGCAGCAGUAGGGAAUCGUCGGCAAUGGACGAAAGUCUGACCGAGCAACGCCGCGUGAGUGAAGAAGGUUUUCGGAUCGUAAAGCUCUGUUGUAAGAGAAGAACGGGUGUGAGAGUGGAAAGUUCACACUGUGACGGUAUCUUACCAGAAAGGGACGGCUAACUACGUG
rnacentral:rRNA from 1 species